rnacentral:lncRNA from 1 species
GUGUAUGUGUACAAAGGCAAUACUAAUACUAGUGUUCGAGUAAUUGUGGAGAGUGUCCUUCCUUAGUAGACCUCCUACAUGAAAAAAGGCAAAAAAGCACCAUUUUAUAGACAGACAGACACCAGAGUGAUCUUUAUUUCUGCAUGCACAAACACAAAAGAUUGCCCAAUUGCUUUUUCCUCACCAAAAAUUUAAUCAUUUCUUCAACUUCCUUCCUUUCCCUUUUUCACUUUACCAAAACCGCAAAUCACGGUCAAGAAUCUAUGGACUCAAAUUCCCACUACUGUCUACCCAGUCUCAUCUGCACUCACUUAGGGCACCCAUUAACACUUUGACCGUAUAAUUGAAGCCACCAAUGAAACCCCACCCACGUAAUGAGAUCAAGUUAACUUCCUACCAUGGAAUAACUACCGACUGUGCGUUGGUUACUCAGUCAGUGGGAAGUGGACCCGGGUUGUCUCGCUCCUUUUUUUUUUUGGUGGUCCGAGUCACCAACUCGGACCACCCCCGCC